UACGGAGGGUGCAAGCGUUAUCCGGAUUUACUGGGUUUAAAGGGUGGCGUAGGUGGGUUGGUAAGUCAGUGGUGAAAUACUUUCGCUUAACGAAGGAACUGCCAUUGAUACUAUCAAUCUUGAAUGUAGUGGAGGUAGGCGGAAUGCGUCAUGUAGCGGUGAAAUGCUUAGAUAUGACGCAGAACACCAAUUGCGAAGGCAGCUUGCUACACUACUAUUGACACUGAGGCACGAAAGCGUGGGGAUCAAACAGG
rnacentral:rRNA from 1 species